GAUGAAGAACGUAGCGAAAUGCGAUAAGUAAUGUGAAUUGCAGAACUCAGUGAAUCAUCGAAUCUUUGAACGCACAUUGCGCCCCCUGGCUUUCCGGGGGGCAUGCCUGUCCGAGCGUCAUUGCUGCCCUCAAGCACGGCUUGUGUGUUGGGCUCCGUCCCCCCGGGGACGGGCCCGAAAGGCAGCGGCGGCACCGAGUCCGGUCCUCGAGCGUAUGGGGCUUUGUCACCCGCUCUGUAGGCCCGGCCGGCGCCAGCCGACAACCCAUCAUCCUUUUCAGGUUGACCUCGGAUCAGGUAGGGAUACCCGCUGAACUUAAGCAUAUCAAUAAGCGGAGGA
rnacentral:misc_RNA from 1 species